rnacentral:rRNA from 1 species
GAACGCUGGCGGCAGGCUUAACACGUGCAAGUCGAGCGCCUGUAGCAAUACAGGAGCGGCAGACGGGAGAGUAACACGUGGGAACAUGCCCUUCGGUUCGGAAUAACUCAGGGAAACUUGAGCUAAUACCGGAUACGUCCGUAAGGAGAAAGAUUUAUCGCCGAAGGAUUGGCCCGCGUCCGAUUAGCUAGUUGGUGAGGUAAUGGCUCACCAAGGCGACGAUCGGUAGCUGGUCUGAGAGGAUGAUCAGCCUCAUUGGGACUGAGACACGGCCCAAACUCCUACGGGAGGCAGCAGUGGGGAAUAUUGGACAAUGGGCGCAAGCCUGAUCCAGCCAUGCUGCGUGGGUGAUGAAGGCCUUAGGGUUGUAAAGCCCUUUCGGCGGGGAAGAUAAUGACGGUACCCGCAGAAGAAGCCCCGGCUAACUUCGUGCCAGCAGCCGCGGUAAUACGAAGGGGGCUAGCGUUGCUCGGAAUCACUGGGCGUAAAGCGCACGUAGGCGGACUCUUAAGUCGGUGGUGAAAUCCUGGAGCUCAACUCCAGAACUGCCUUCGAUACUGGGAGUCUUCGAGUCCGGGAGAGGUGAGUGGAACUGCGAGUGUAGAGGUGAAAUUCGUAGAUAUUCGCAAGAACGCCAGUGGCGAAGGCGGCUUCACUGGCCCGGUACUGACGCUGAGGUGCGAAAGCGUGGGG